GAUGAACGCUGGCGGCGUGCUUAACACAUGCAAGUCGAACGGAAAGGCCCAAGCUUGCUUGGGUACUCGAGUGGCGAACGGGUGAGUAACACGUGGGUGAUCUGCCCUGCACUUCGGGAUAAGCCUGGGAAACUGGGUCUAAUACCGGAUAGGACCACUUCUUGGAUGUUGUGGUGGAAAGUUUUUCGGUGUGGGAUGAGCUCGCGGCCUAUCAGCUUGUUGGUGGGGUAAUGGCCUACCAAGGCGUCGACGGGUAGCCGGCCUGAGAGGGUGUACGGCCACAUUGGGACUGGGAUACGGCCCAGACUCCUACGGGAGGCAGCAGUGGGGAAUAUUGCACAAUGGGCGCAAGCCUGAUGCAGCGACGCCGCGUGGGGGAUGACGGCCUUCGGGUUGUAAACUCCUUUCGCUAGGGACGAAGCUUAUUUUGUGACGGUACCUGGAGAAGAAGCACCGGCUAACUACGUG
rnacentral:rRNA from 1 species